UACAGAGGUGGCAAGCGUUGUUCGGAAUUACUGGGCGUAAAGGGCGCGUAGGCGGCCUUCUAAGUCAGACGUGAAAUCCCCCGGCUUAACCUGGGAACUGCGUCUGAUACUGGGAGGCUUGAGUAUGGGAGAGGGAUGUAGAAUUCCAGGUGUAGCGGUGAAAUGCGUAGAUAUCUGGAGGAAUACCGGUGGCGAAGGCGGCCUUCUGGACAGUGACUGACGCUGAGACGCGAAAGCGUGGGGAGCAAACAGG
rnacentral:rRNA from 1 species